rnacentral:rRNA from 1 species
GACGAACGCUGGCGGCGUGCCUAAUACAUGCAAGUCGAACGAGAGCGACCGGUGCUUGCCCUGGUCAAUCUAGUGGCGCACGGGUGAGUAACACGUGGGUAACCUGCCCAUCAGAGGGGGAUAACAUCCAGAAACGGAUGCUAAAACCGCAUAGGUCUUCGAACCGCAUGGUUUGAAGAGGAAAAGAGGCGCAAGCUUCUGCUGAUGGAUGUACCCGCGGUGCAUUAGCUAGUUGGUGAGGUAACGGCUCACCAAGGCCGUGAUGCAUAGCCGACCUGAGAGGGUGAUCGGCCACAUUGGGACUGAGACACGGCCCAAACUCCUACGGGAGGCAGCAGUAGGGAAUCUUCCGCAAUGGACGCAAGUCUGACGGAGCAACGCCGCGUGAGUGAAGGAGGUUUUCGGAUCGUAAAACUCUGUUGUUAGAGAAGAACAAGUGCUAGAGUAACUGUUAGCGCCUUGACGGUAUCUAACCAGAAAGCCACGGCUAACUACGUG